rnacentral:rRNA from 1 species
UACGUAGGGGGCAAGCGUUGUCCGGAUUCAUUGGGCGUAAAGAGCUCGUAGGCGGCUGUUCAAGUCGAACGUGAAAACUCGGAGCUCAACUCCGAGCCUGCGUUCGAUACUGGACGGCUAGAGUCUGGUAGGGGGAUCUGGAAUUCCUGGUGUAGCGGUGAAAUGCUUAGAUAUCAUCAAGAACAUCUAUUGCGAAGGCAGCUUGCUAGGCUGAUACUGACGCUGAGGCACGAAAGCGUGGGGAUCGAACAGG